GACGAACGCUGGCGGUGUGCUUAACACAUGCAAGUGGAGCGACGAACCAGAGCUUGCUCUGGGGGCAGAGCCGCGAACGGGUGAGUAACACGUGGGUAACGUACCCCGAUUACCGGGACAACCCGAGGAAACUCGGGCUAAUACCGGAUGUGCUCCCUCCCCAUGAGGGGAGUGAGUAAAGGAAGCUUCGGCCUCCGAAUCGGGAGCGGCCCGCGGCCUAUUAGUUUGUUGGUGGGGUAACGGCCUACCAAGACUGCGAUAGGUAGCUGGUCUGAGAGGACGAUCAGCCACACUGGGACUGAGACACGGCCCAGACUCCUACGGGAGGCGAGCAGUGGGGAAGUCUUGCGCAAUGCGCGAAAGCGUGACGCAGCAACACCGCGUGGGGGAAGACGGCCUC
rnacentral:rRNA from 1 species